CCUUCAACUUCAUGCGUGCA
rnacentral:miRNA from 1 species